UACAGAGGGGGCAAGCGUUGUUCGGAAUUACUGGGCGUAAAGGGCGCGUAGGCGGCCUGCUAAGUCGAACGUGAAAUCCCUGGGCUCAACCCAGGAACUGCGUCCGAUACUGGUUGGCUUGAAUCCGGGAGAGGGACGUGGAAUUCCAGGUGUAGCGGUGAAAUGCGUAGAUAUCUGGAGGAACACCGGUGGCGAAGGCGACGUCCUGGACCGGCAUUGACGCUGAGGCGCGAAAGCCAGGGGAGCAAACGGG
rnacentral:rRNA from 2 species